rnacentral:rRNA from 1 species
UACGUAGGGUGCAAGCGUUAAUCGGAAUUACUGGGCGUAAAGCGUGCGCAGGCGGUGAUGUAAGACAGAUGUGAAAUCCCCGGGCUCAACCUGGGAACUGCAUUUGUGACUGCAUCGCUGGAGUGCGGCAGAGGGGGAUGGAAUUCCGCGUGUAGCAGUGAAAUGCGUAGAUAUGCGGAGGAACACCGAUGGCGAAGGCAAUCUCCUGGGCCUGCACUGACGCUCAUGCACGAAAGGCGUGGGG